rnacentral:rRNA from 1 species
GGGACACGUGGUAUCCUGUCUGAAUAUGGGGGGACCAUCCUCCAAGGCUAAAUACUCCUGACUGACCGAUAGUGAACCAGUACCGUGAGGGAAAGGCGAAAAGAACCCCGGCGAGGGGAGUGAAAAAGAACCUGAAACCGUGUACGUACAAGCAGUGGGAGCACCUUCGGGUGUGACUGCGUACCUUUUGUAUAAUGGGUCAGCGACUUAUAUUCUGUAGCAAGGUUAACCGUAUAGGGGAGCCGCAGGGAAACCGAGUCUUAACUGGGCGUUAAGUUGCAGGGUAUAGACCCGAAACCCGGUGAUCUAGCCAUGGGCAGGUUGAAGGUUGGGUAACACUAACUGGAGGACCGAACCGACUAAUGUUGAA